rnacentral:rRNA from 1 species
CUACGGGAGGCACCAGUGAGGAAUAUUGCACAAUGGGGGGAACCCUGAUGCAGCAACGCCGCGUGGAGGAUGACGCAUUUCGGUGUGUAAACUCCUUUUAUAUGUCAAGAAAAUGACGGUAGCAUAUGAAUAAGCACCGGCUAACUCCGUGCCAGCAGCCGCGGUAAUACGGAGGGUGCAAGCGUUACUCGGAAUCACUGGGCGUAAAGGAUGCGUAGGCGGGUUGGAAAGUCAGGUGUGAAAUCCUACAGCUUAACUGUAGAACUGCACUUGAAACUUCUAAUCUAGAGUAUGGGAGGGGGAGAUGGAAUUAGUGGUGUAGGGGUAACAUCCGUAGAUAUCACUAGGAAUACCUAAAGCGAAGGCGAUCUCCUGGAACAUUACUGACGCUAAGGCGUGAAAGCGUGGGGAGCAAACAGGAUUAGAUACCCGGGUAGUC